AAUUGUCUUUUUCUUUUCAGACAGUAUUGAGGAUUACAUUCAGACCACAUCAUCUAACGUGGACUCAGCCAACCAGGAGCUUGCCAAGGCCAAUCAGUAUCAGAGGCAGUUGAGGAAAAGAAAGUGUUACCUUCUGUUGGCCGGAGCCUUUAUCCUUGCCAUCCUCAUUCUCAUUAUUGCUGUUUCAGCAAGAAAAUGAGACCCGCCUUUGCGGUAGCUGCUGUCAUUACAGUGUCACUGCACUGCUCCUGCCCAGCCUGAUCCCUGACCCGCUCAGCUGGUAUCCAGUAGAAAACAAGCAUCUCUACUCCAUCCUCUCCAGCUCUGCUGCAAUGUGCAUAUGUCUGAAGGCUUGGAGAUGGAGGCCUUUUACAGCAUAACCCAAAUCUCAUGUAGUCAUGACUUGUGCUUUUUCUGACUUUGAUUAUAUUCCAGUGAGAGCAGACAGUCAUACAAGUUAAAAGGCAGAGACAUCACAGGAGGGAUUUUCUUGAUCAAAUCACAAAAUCAUAGAAGAAAUAGUAGACUAUGCUUGUAUUUUGUGUUUUUACAUAUCGGAACAAAACAUUUUAUUUAAAUCUUACCUUAAUAGAUUUUGCGGUGUUGAUAUUCUUUAAGCUAAAAUGGAACGGUUUUGCCCAACAGCUCCGUGUUACAUACAACCAACUUUAGCUGGAUGAACAUAAAGGUUUCUCUUACAUUUUUCUCAGGAAGUUUUUGCCAUAAGUAGGUUACAUGAGUUUAUUGAUGUUUGCAUACAUUUUCUCUUCUAACCUAAGGUCAUUACUAAUGUAUUUCCUUGUUGGAGUUGACACACAGCUGUAUGCUAGAGAGCAGCAAAAUGCCAAAACUGCAGAUGUUAUAGAGGUGGAGACCCUGAUCAUCCACUACUAAAGUGCAUCUGAUCCACUUUGUAAUCCAAUGGAAGCAGUGAUGGUGGAACUUAUUAUUUGGCUUUGUUUUGUUCAAUUAAGCAUUUCUUCUGUUUUUAUACUCUUGCGAUUGGAUUUAAAUCAUUUUAAAACUGGUAGAUGCUUUUCACUACAUCCUGAUAUGUAAAACCACAGCAAUGAAAGAGCAUGUACUGUUUCUGUUUGUUCUCAGUCAUUUCUAUUGUCUAUGUAAAAUGGUUUGGAUCAGUAUGGCUCAUUGUCAGUACCUAAAUGUAGAAGACAGAGCAUGGAAUGACAAAGAAGAGUUGGACUGUCUCCACCACUGUAUACCAUUUGCUCUAUUUCUUUUAAAUAUUUUGAACAGAAUGAAAGUAGAUUCUCAGAUCUCAUGUGAUUUAUUCACUAUUAUAAUGUAGUGUGCAGUAUCUGUGACGUAUUUGAAUAAAAAUGUAUUCCACAAUAAAGUUCAGCUCUGAGAAGAAUA